rnacentral:lncRNA from 1 species
GCACGCGCGAGCUGCGGGCCGCUGCGGCUCGUAACUCGGCCGCGCUGGAUGCGCUCGCACGUGCUGGGCAACAGUUGCGCUCCCAGCGCGUCGCCCCCCUGCCAGCGACCGCUGCUCGCGAGCAGGGCGCGCAAGCGCUUCUUAAGGUUGCUGGGACUGCUAACACGGACACAAGGAGGUAUUCAGUGACUUUACUCAAGUAAAUCUGGAGGUACAACAGUGGAAGAGGAGACUUAGUUCGCUGACACCUCGGCUCCACAGCAGUCCCAUGGAAAUCCAGCACACGGCUUCACGGCACACACCUCCUUCCUAAUGGUCACAGAGACACAGGUCCUCAGCUAAGUUAACCUCUGUACCCUCUAUGCCAUAUUAUUUGAAUUAUUUGAAAAAAGCGAUACUCCGGAUAGAUUGAGUUGGUGGAUUAUGCAGUUUAAUGGUUCUGACCAUAACAACAAAUAAUAAUUUAAACAAAGUCUGUUUUUACUAAAAUGUCAAAAAAAGAAAGAAGAUAUGUGGAUUUCCCAGCUGAGUGGCCUAUUUUAUAGAUCUACUCAUAAACCAGAAAGGAAAACUUUGGAGGUUUAUUUUACUCUUCAGGGAUCUAGAGCUGCUGUUGGUGUGAAGAGCCUUUUUUGUGGUCUGUGGAUUCCUUUUACUGUUUUUGUGGUGGUGCUCUUAAUGUUUUUUCCAUUUGCUGCUGCAUGUAACUUGUGAGGUCUAGGAUCUAAAACUUGUCUCUUCCCUGAAUUCUGGCUUGACCAUGUAAAAAAAAAAAAAAAAAAAAAAAAAAAAAAAAAGCUCUUAGUGUGGAUGUUUUGGUGUCUUUCCUUUCUAACCUGCUCAGUCUGCAUCCUGGAUCCUUGUCUCUAGAGAGCUUUUCUCCCUUUCCUCCUUGCCAGCAGGAUGAUAAGCCACCUGCCUGCCUGGAUCAGUGAAAUGCACUCAGCUCUAGCUCAGGGGGAUCAGCAUGUGCUAGUAGUGUAUAGAUUUCAUGUGAAUACUGCCAGCUUGAUACAGAAAGUCUUUCCAUUUUUUUCCUUGGGGUAGUGCUCCAGGGUAGUAUGUAUCAUGAACUCUCUUGUUGCCUGUAUAAAUGAAAAAAAAAUAGUUUAAUUGUAUUGUAUAAUAAUGAAAUAGGAAAGACAACCCUUUUUUAAUUGCAAAAUGAAUAUUAUAUGAAUAUUAUUUUCCCAAGGAGCAAAAAGUCUCUCUCUGACUUCUUUUUUUCCUACCUUUCCAAAUUCCUGUGUCUGUAUGUAUUUAACGAAGACCUUAGACUCCAGGGAAAGGUUUAAGCUCUUCUGAUUUAAUUGGUAAGCAAGGAGAAACAUCUUAUUAACUCGUCUGUGACUUUUCUGCUUGUUUCUUUUACUGCUAAGACAAGAGCAAUAAAAUCAGCUAAAUGUGAAUGUCGUUUUAAUAU